rnacentral:rRNA from 1 species
GACGAACGCUGGCGGCGUGCUUAACACAUGCAAGUCGAACGGGCCCGCCCCUGUUUUUGGGGGUGGGUUGAGUGGCGAACGGGUGAGUAUCACGUGAGUAACCUGCCCCCUGCUCCUGGAUAACUGCUUGAAAGGGCGGCUAAUACGGGGUGUGCCGGCUGGUCCGCAUGGGCCUGGUCGGGAUAGUUUCAUCUUCGGGUGUUUCGGUGGGGGAUGGGCUCGCGGCCUAUCAGCUUGUUGGUGGGGUGAUGGCCCACCAAGGCGGUGACGGGUAGCCGGCCUGAGAGGGUGGGCGGCCACACUGGGACUGAGACACGGCCCAGACGCCUGCGGGAGGCAGCAGUGGGGGGUAUUGCACAAUGGGCGGAAGCCUGAUGCAGCGACGGCGAGUGAGGGAUGGAGGCCUUCGGGUGGUGAACCUCUUUCUCCGGUGGUGAAGGCCCUGUCCGUUGCGGCGGGGUUGACGGUAGCCGGGUAUGAAGCGCCGGCUAACUACGUG